UACGUAGGGUGCGAGCGUUAAUCGGAAUUACUGGGCGUAAAGCGUGCGCAGGCGGUUCGUUAAGUCAGAUGUGAAAGCCCCGGGCUCAACCUGGGGAACUGCAUUUGAAACUGGCGGGCUUGAGUGUGGCAGAGGGGGGUGGAAUUCCGCGUGUAGCAGUGAAAUGCGUAGAGAUGCGGAGGAACACCGAUGGCGAAGGCAGCCCCCUGGGCCAACACUGACGCUCAGGCACGAAAGCGUGGGGAGCGAACAGG
rnacentral:rRNA from 1 species